rnacentral:sRNA from 1 species
UUCACGGCCGCACACCCAUCCCUACUCCAACCACUGAACCUGCUUGGCCUGUCGACAGGGGGCACAAGUAAUAUAUGGAGACGCCAUUUCCUUUCCUAUCCUCCCUCAUUGGGGGGUAAAGGAAUUAGAUAUAAUCUCCGCCUGACAGCACCUCCUCUAUCUGAAAGCAAAGUAGAAGCCCUGGUUCGAAAGUAGUCUGGAGGAUGGCCUUUGUGCAUAUUCCACUAAGAGGUUAUCCACUGCUACAAAGCGUAUUGAACCAUCACUCCAGCGAAAGGGACAAGCUCUAAUUCUAGGAAACGUAAUCGCCCAGAAGGAUAGUGGUAACAACCAAAACACGGCUCAAUUAACUGAGGACUUCGCAGAACUCGCCUUUCUCGCAGGGCGUUUCAAUGAAAUGGGGAAUCCAAAGUAAGGCGCCUGCCGUUGUAUUAGGGUUCACUUUGGCGACAAAUAUUGAAUGAGGUUUGAGAUGGACGGUUGAAUGGGAGCGCUGGGAAAAUUGAACGGGUUGGGUAGUUAAUUAGAAUGCUUGUUACAUCACAGGGCAGAACUUCUCGGUAUUCUGGCUGGACCAAGGACAACAUAAACAGCAUUGCGUAGUUACUAUAUGUAUCAAGUUAAAACG